rnacentral:rRNA from 1 species
UACGAAGGGGGCUAGCGUUGCUCGGAAUCACUGGGCGUAAAGGGUGCGUAGGCGGGUCUUUAAGUCAGGGGUGAAAUCCUGGAGCUCAACUCCAGAACUGCCUUUGAUACUGAGGAUCUUGAGUUCGGGAGAGGUGAGUGGAACUGCGAGUGUAGAGGUGAAAUUCGUAGAUAUUCGCAAGAACACCAGUGGCGAAGGCGGCUCACUGGCCCGGUACUCGACGCUGAGGUGCGAAAGCGUGGGAGCAAACAGG